rnacentral:rRNA from 1 species
AACGUAGGAGCCUAGCGUUAUCCGAAUUUACUGGGCGUAAAGCGCGUGCAGGCGGCUUCGUAAGUGGAUUGUGAAAUCUCCCGGCUCAACUGGGAGGGGACGGUCCAGACUGCGAGGCUGGAGGCAGGGAGAGGGAGGUGGAAUUCCCGGUGUAGUGGUGAAAUGCGUAGAGAUCAGCAGGAACACCCGUGGCGAAGGCGGCCCCCUGGGCCGAACCUGACGCUGAGGCGCGAAGGCUAGGGGAGCGAACGGG